rnacentral:misc_RNA from 1 species
GAGAAAUUCGCCCUCACGGGUGACUCUCCAACCCUAUGUUAUUGUACCUUCGUUGCUUUGGCGAGCCGCCUCGUGCCACCGACUUUCGCCGGUGAGUGCUCGCCAGAGGACCCCAAACUCUUUUGUUAAUGUCGUCUGAGUACUAUAUAAUAGUUAAAACUUUCAACAACGGAUCUCUUGGUUCU